CUGGCAGAGGUGGUUGGGGCUAUGUGCCUGGAGUGAAGAUUCUGCCCAUUGGUCAAGAGACCUCCCUCUCAGAUGCUGGCUCUGCCCCUGCCUUUGGGGGUCGACCCUUGUACUCGCAGGACCUUAGGUGACUCUGACUUUGUCAAAGGAAAAAUUUCUGCAUGUGCACACACAGAUCUUGGAAGUUUAUUCAUCUCAGCAGAGGCAGACAGGAGCAUCAACAGCCUUGGGGACAGCAGCAGUGGUGGCAGGGCAAAAUAAAACUUAUAUGAAACUGCAAUCACUAACGUGUGAAAAUGGAAGAUUCAGGAAGUGUUUCGUAUCUGAAAUAUGAACCAAGGUGGAAUCAACAUGCAUCCAAACAGGACUAAAUGUGCAAACCCAAGGCAAGCUUAAAACUAUAAAGUAAAUAUUUAGCAAUUUUGCAAAUUGGUCAUUUGGAGACUAGCUUUUAGCAAAUUCAUCAUAUGUUUAAUUGUUUUCCACCAAGGCUGCCUUGGGUGACUAUGUUCAAGCAACCAAAUUGCUCUCUUUAAUGCAAAAAUCAGUAAAGAUUCAUCUCUCUAAAGUAAGUUUGAAAUUCUUGCAAUAUUCAGACUGACUUGGCAACUAACUGAUGGGUUACCUCUUUGUGUCCCCCUGGCAUCCUAUCCUUAAUGUAGACAUAUAUGCAUAGUAGAAUGUUGAUUCGUUAAUCCACAGAGGAAACUGUAACUACUAAGAAGACUAGAUAUUCAUGCUUGAGAAUGAGUGGUUCUGUUUUUGAUGGCAAACCUCUGACAUACAAUACAAGGUGGCCUAUUCCUACAACAUUCAGGAUAAAGAAUAAGGGAGCUGGGUGCAUUGGUGUGUGCCUAUAAUCCCAGCUACUUGGGAGGUUGAGAUGGGCACAUUGCUUGCUCCCAGGAGUUCGAGUCCAGCCUGGG
rnacentral:antisense_RNA from 1 species